AAUGAACGCUGGCGGCGUGCCUAAUACAUGCAAGUCGAGCGGUAAGGCCCUUCGGGGUACACGAGCGGCGGACGGCUGAGUAACACGUAGGAACGUACCCCAAACUGAGGGAUAAGCACCAGAAAUGGUGUCUAAUACCGCAUGUGAUCUUCGGAUUAAAGCUUCGGCGGUUUGGGAACGGCCUGCGCAUGAUUAGCUUGUUGGUGAGGUAAUUGCUCACCAAGGCGACGAUCAUUAGCUGGUCUGAGAGGAUGACCAGCCAGACUGGAACUGAGAACGGUCCAGACUCCUACGGGAGGCAGCAGUAGGGAAUUUUCCACAAUGGGCGAAAGCCUGAUGGAGCAACGCCGCGUGCAGGAUGAAUGUCUUCGGAUUGUAAACUGCUUUUAUAUGUGACGAUAAUGACGGUAGCAUAUGAAUAAGGAUCGGCUAACUCCGUGCCAGCAGCCGCGGUAA
rnacentral:rRNA from 1 species